rnacentral:rRNA from 1 species
AGACAGAGGGUGCAAACGUUGUUCGGAAUUACUGGGCGUAAAGCGCGUGUAGGCUGUUCAGCAAGUCGGGUGUGAAAGCCCAGGGCUCAACCCUGGAAGUGCACUCGAAACUGCUAGACUAGAAUCUCGGAGAGGGUGGCGGAAUUCUGGGUGUAGAGGUGAAAUUCGUAGAUAUCCAGAGGAACACCGGUGGCGAAGGCGGCCACCUGGACGAGCAUUGACGCUGAGACGCGAAAGCAUGGGGAGCAAACAGGAUUAGAAACCCCAGUAGUCC